rnacentral:sRNA from 2 species
ACUGAUCGCUCAAGAUGGCGUUCGACCGAAGUACACCUUUACAAAACGACUUUUGGCGGAAUGAAUCACUCAAAGCUAUAAAUUGAGAUCACAACAGGAGGAAUCGGAAUCGCCUGCCAGUGCGGUAGCACUUGCAGCAGCAAACUUGACACUGCUACUUCAUUAGUUGGUUAUGAAAAAUACAGAAGCAGCUUGACUGAUUGCGUAUCCACCAUAAUAAUAGAUUACUUAGUCUUUAUCUCCCUGCCAUCGAGAAAAAAUAGCCUGGUGUCUAAGGUCCUCCAAAAUCUAUAUAAUCCACAGAUUGUUAUCCAUGUCAAUGAGGACAUUGUCUGGUUCAGCAUCCCCC